CCUACGGGGCGCAGCAGUGGGGAAUAUUGCACAAUGGGCGCAAGCCUGAUGCAGCCAUGCCGCGUGUGUGAAGAAGGCCUUCGGGUUGUAAAGCACUUUCAGCGAGGAGGAAGGUGGUGAGCUUAAUACGCCCAUCAAUUGACGUUACUCGCAGAAGAAGCACCGGCUAACUCCGUGCCAGCAGCCGCGGUAAUACGGAGGGUGCAAGCGUUAAUCGGAAUUACUGGGCGUAAAGCGCACGCAGGCGGUUUGUUAAGUCAGAUGUGAAAUCCCCGGGCUCAACCUGGGAACUGCAUUUGAAACCGGCAAGCUAGAGUCUCGUAGAGGGGGGUAGAAUUCCAGGUGUAGCGGUGAAAUGCGUAGAGAUCUGGAGGAAUACCGGUGGCGAAGGCGGCCCCCUGGACGAAGACUGACGCUCAGGUGCGAAAGCGUGGGGAACAAACAGGAUUAGAUACCCGGGUAGUC
rnacentral:rRNA from 1 species